AAAACCCUAACCAGGAUUCUAAUAUCAUAUUAGAGAAUAACAAAUAGGAUUCUAUUUUAUUCUUUAGUAAUAACUUAUAUAAAUAAAAAGAUUACUAGAGAAUGUUAUUAUAAUAAAAGACUAAUUACCAAAAAAAAAAAUACGAUUAUUCCUCCAACAUUAUCAAAAUCUUAUGAAUAGGUCUAAUUGUUUUUCAAUAGUUUCUCAAUCCACACUCAUUUAUCUGCUCAAAAGAUACCUGUUUUUCA
rnacentral:lncRNA from 1 species